GCGCCCAUAGCUCAGUUGGUAGAGCAGUUGCCUCUUAAGCAAACGGUCCCAGGUUCGAGCCCUGGUGGGCGCA
rnacentral:tRNA from 1 species